ACGCUCGACACCUACUGGAGGCAGCAGUGGGGAAUAUUGCACAAUGGGGGAAACCCUGAUGCAGCGACGCCGCGUGAGCGAAGAAGUAUUUCGGUAUGUAAAGCUCUAUCAGCAGGGAAGAAACUGACGGUACCUGACUAAGAAGCACCGGCUAAAUACGUACACGCAGCCGCGGUAAUCUGAGCGGGCUGGCAAGGC
rnacentral:rRNA from 1 species